GAGGAGGUUUUGGGCGGAUAACUGCCAAAUGAAUGGAUGGAGCUAACAUAAGCAUUGUACUGAAUGAGCGGAUCGCAGUUGGGUGGGUGUCCACUGUCCAGGUGGACAUCUUGCACAAAGCAGUCCGUAGUCAGUGCAUAAUAAUCCGUACUCGUGCCGGUAAUGCAUCCUCCAGGCGCGACCACACAGCGACAAGCGUCCAUUCCCGCGACCGUCGUAUCACUGCACUGUCGACGAACGAAGGGCAGCCCGCCAUAGAGACAGGACGUGUCAGGUCGCUAGCAAACCGUCCAGGCUAGUGAAGUGAAUCUCCAACCGGUGUCCCCAGCUGAUCAUCAUCAUCAUCAUCACUGCGGAGACUGGGCGGAGUUCUCUCUGACACACUUCACUUGAAGUCACACAAACCCUCACACACACACACACACACACACACACACACACACAUACACGCACGCGCACGCACACACAUACACACACAUACACACACACACACACACACACACACACACACACACACACACACACACACACACACACACACACACACACACACACACACACACACACACACACACACACACACACACACACACACAGGUUCGACGAUGAGGCGGCAACCUUUACCUACAGUAGUUUUGACAGCCCUGCCACUGGUAGUUGCAACCGCCAUGGCUGUUGUCAAUGCUGCUGCCCUUGAUCCUUCGCGCUGCUGUGCCUGCCCUCAUGCGACUGUCAAUGGAAGUAACUGCAACACACCAUACCCACUGCCAAGGAAUGUCACAGUGAUCGCCAAUGCUGGUGGAAAGUCUAUUCCCAUCACCGGCUACACCGUGCUAAACGUGUCGCAGCAUGGCAAUCAGAACGUUACACUCGCCAUUAAUGCAAGUCUGGCACAAGCGAAGGACGCCAAUGUUACCCACCAUGAGUACAUCGUGUACACCGAGGUCACCCAGAACAACCAGUCAGACAAAGAGUACUGCGACAAGCUGGUGGACAACAUCGCUCUGACCUACGAUCAGCUCCUGAACGGCACAUACAGUAUCCGCGUCGCCAUCUUCCAGGAACGAGAGCACAUGUGCCGGAUCCUGGGCCACAUAGUCGUGCGUAGCAACGCAGUCACCAGCUUGCCCUGUGCUCUGCUUACGCUGCUGUCGUUGCUCAUGGCUGCUGCUGCUGUUGCUGCUGGCGCUGUCUAGACUCCGAAGCAUACAAACGGCAUGUUUUCAUGGUGAAGUGCUGUCGUAGAUGUUCGAUUUUCUUUCCGUAGCUGUGCAUUGACCUGUGCUGUGCGCUGGUCUGUUGUGGAACAAACGGUGCAGCAAUGCAGUGCACUAGUUACAGUGGCUUGCAGACUGCACGUCUGGCCUUGAUGGACUUGCGUCAUCCAUCCAUUCUGGCAUACCACUGUGAGUAUCAUGCAGUAAGCUUGUUCAUGAUCACUCUCGGUAUGUGCACAGCUGUGUCUACCUCUUUCAAUUCUACGUUCAACCCCCCCCCCCCCCAUGUGCCGCAGCGUUUAGACCGUUAGAAACACUCUUCAGUCUUCAUCCUCUUUCCGUGGACUUGGUCUGCAGCACCCCAUCGCCACCGCUGCCUUGCAGUGCAACCCCAUUCAGUUAAUGUCUUGUUAGCCGGCUGUUUUUGUCAUUUCCUCCUUCUUUCUUGUUUUACGAAUUGGGUGCAUGGUUUCAAGUAAAAAAAUACAAAAAAUCCUGGUAACUCAAAGUCCCCAUCAUGCAAGUUAGGUAUUGUGAUCUAGACUCUGCUCAGUUUUCCCAUUGCCUUUGUUUUUGCAGUUUAGACGCUUUACUUUGUUUCUUUGUGCAAACGUGUUUGCUACUUUCCCCUCAAUGCCAAAAAAGUCUCCUUUUUGUGACACCAAUCUGAUCCUUUUUGUGACACCAAUCUGAUCCUUUUUGUGA